UGACGAAAUUUGCAUUUUAUCAGAGAUAAGC
rnacentral:piRNA from 1 species